AUCCAGACUCCUACGGGAGGCAGCAGUGAGGAAUAUUGGUCAAUGGUCGGGAGACUGAACCAGCCAAGCCGCGUGAGGGAUGAGGGUACAGAGUAUCGUAAACCUCUUUUGUCAGGGAACAAAGGCGGGGACGUGUCCCCGGAUGAGUGUACCUGAAGAAAAAGCAUCGGCUAACUCCGUGCCAGCAGCCGCGGUAAUACGGAGGAUGCGAGCGUUAUCCGGAUUUAUUGGGUUUAAAGGGUGCGCAGGCGGUCUGUUAAGUCGGCGGUAAAAGCCGGGGGCCAAACCCCGACAAGCCGUUGAAACUGGCUUGCUAGAGUGGGCGAGAAGUAUGCGGAAUGCGUGGUGUAGCGGUGAAAUGCAUAGAUAUCACGCAGAACCCCGAUUGCGAAGGCAGCCUUCCGGCGCCCUACUGACGCUGAGGCACGAAAGUGCGGGGAUCGAACAGGAUUAGAUACCCCAGUA
rnacentral:rRNA from 1 species